rnacentral:rRNA from 1 species
GAUGAACGCUGGCGGCGUGCCUAAUACAUGCAAGUCGAGCGAACAGACGAGGAGCUUGCUCCUCUGACGUUAGCGGCGGACGGGUGAGUAACACGUGGAUAACCUACCUAUAAGACUGGGAUAACUUCGGGAAACCGGAGCUAAUACCGGAUAAUAUAUUGAACCGCAUGGUUCAAUAGUGAAAGACGGUUUUGCUGUCGCUUAUAGAUGGAUCCGCGCCGCAUUAGCUAGGUGGUAAGGUAACGGCUUACCAAGGCAACGAUGCGUAGCCGACCUGAGAGGGUGAUCGGCCACACUGGAACUGAGACACGGUCCAGACUCCUACGGGAGGCAGCAGUAGGGAAUCUUCCGCAAUGGGCGAAAGCCUGACGGAGCAACGCCGCGUGAGUGAUGAAGGUCUUCGGAUCGUAAAACUCUGUUAUUAGGGAAGACCAAAUGUGUAAGUAACUAUGCACGUCUUGACGGUACCUAAUCAGAAAGCCACGGCUAACUACGUG